GCGCACGGGUGCGUAACGCGUAACCAACCUACCCGAAUCUGGGGGAUAGCCCGCCGAAAGGCGGAUUAAUACCGCAUAAGACUAUAAUACGGCAUCGUGUAGUAGUUAAAGAUUUAUUGGAUUCGGAUGGGGUUGCGUGCCAUUAGCUAGUUGGUUGGGUAACGGCCGACCAAGGCGACGAUGGCUAGGGGAGCUGAGAGGCUGGUCCCCCACACGGGCACUGAGAUACGGGCCCGACUCCUACGGGAGGCAGCA
rnacentral:rRNA from 1 species